AGUAGAAUGACUGAGGAAAAAGGUGAAAGAUUGUAAAUCUUUCUAGGGGAUAAGACUCUUCUACUA
rnacentral:tRNA from 1 species